rnacentral:rRNA from 1 species
AACGAACGCUGGCGGCAUGCCUAACACAUGCAAGUCGAACGAGGCCUUCGGGUCUAGUGGCGCACGGGUGCGUAACGCGUGGGAAUCUACCCUUGGGUUCGGAAUAACUCAGAGAAAUUUGAGCUAAUACCGGAUGAUGUCGCAAGACCAAAAGAUUUAUCGCCCAAGGAUGAGCCCGCGUAGGAUUAGCUUGUUGGUGAGGUAAAAGCUCACCAAGGCGACGAUCCUUAGCUGGUCUGAGAGGAUGAUCAGCCACACUGGGACUGAGACACGGGCCCAGACUCCCUGCGGGAGGCAGCAGUGGGGAAUAUUGGACAAUGGGCGCAAGCCUGAUCCAGCCACGCCGCGUGAGUGAUGAAGGCCUUCGGGU